rnacentral:rRNA from 1 species
UGGGGAAUUUUGGACAAUGGGGGAAACCCUGAUCCAGCCAUCCCGCGUGUGCGAUGAAGGCCUUCGGGUUGUAAAGCACUUUUGGCAGGAAAGAAACGUCGCGGGUUAAUACCCCGCGAAACUGACGGUACCUGCAGAAUAAGCACCGGCUAACUACGUGCCAGCAGCCGCGGUAAUACGUAGGGUGCAAGCGUUAAUCGGAAUUACUGGGCGUAAGGCGUGCGCAGGCGGUUCGGAAAGAAAGAUGUGAAAUCCCAGAGCUUAACUUUGGAACUGCAUUUUUAACUACUGGACUAGAGUGUGUCAGAGGGAGGUGGAAUUCCGCGUGUAGCAGUGAAAUGCGUAGAUAUGCGGAGGAACACCGAUGGCGAAGGCAGCCUCCUGGGAUAACACUGACGCUCAUGCACGAAAGCGUGGGGAGCAAACAGGAUUAGAUACCCUGGUAGUCCACGCCCUAAACGAUGUCAACUAGCUGUUGGGGCCUUCGGGCCUUGGUAGCGCAGCUAACGCGUGAAGUUGACCGCCU